ACGAACGCUGGCGGCAUGCCUAACACAUGCAAGUCGAACGAGACCUUCGGGUCUAGUGGCGCACGGGUGCGUAACGCAUGGGAACCUGCCCUUAGGUUCGGAAUAACUCCCCGAAAGGGGUGCUAAUACCGGAUAAUGUCUUCGGACCAAAGAUUUAUCGCCUUUGGAUGGGCCCGCGUUGGAUUAGCUAGUUGGUAGGGUAAAAGCCUACCAAGGCGACGAUCCAUAGCUGGUCUGAGAGGAUGAUCAGCCACACUGGGACUGAGACACGGCCCAGACUCCUACGGGAAGCAGCAGUGGGGAAUAUUGGACAAUGGGCGAAAGCCUGAUCCAGCAAUGCCGCGUGAGUGAUGAAGGCCUUAGGGUUGUAAAGCUCUUUUACCCGGGAUGAUAAUGACAGUACCGGGAGAAUAAGCUCCGGCUAACUCCGUG
rnacentral:rRNA from 1 species